UCCCUGAUGGCCCAGUGGUUAAGACUCUGUGCUUCCAAUGCAGGAGCACAGGUUUGAUCCCUGGUCAGGGAG
rnacentral:tRNA from 1 species